rnacentral:rRNA from 1 species
AUUGAACGCUGGCGGCAGGCCUAACACAUGCAAGUCGAGCGGAUGAAGGGAGCUUGCUCCUGGAUUCAGCGGCGGACGGGUGAGUAAUGCCUAGGAAUCUGCCUGGUAGUGGGGGAUAACGUCCGGAAACGGGCGCUAAUACCGCAUACGUCCUGAGGGAGAAAGUGGGGGAUCUUCGGACCUCACGCUAUCAGAUGAGCCUAGGUCGGAUUAGCUAGUUGGUGGGGUAAAGGCCUACCAAGGCGACGAUCCGUAACUGGUCUGAGAGGAUGAUCAGUCACACUGGAACUGAGACACGGUCCAGACUCCUACGGGAGGCAGCAGUGGGGAAUAUUGGACAAUGGGCGAAAGCCUGAUCCAGCAUGCCGCGUGUGUGAAGAAGGUCUUCGGAUUGUAAAGCACUUUAAGUUGGGAGGAAGGGCAGUAAGUUAAUACCUUGCUGUUUUGACGUUACCAACAGAAUAAGCACCGGCUAACUUCGUG